UGUUGAAAUGUGCCGUUAGAGGUUCUCCUUUGCUAGCAUGCCCAUGCUUCUAUCUGGGUGAGCCUUAGGGAAAAUCCUGCAUGGAGAGACGGAUUCUUGAAAAAUUUAUCUGUAGUUUUUACUCCUUAUUUCUCCCUUUAUAGUCUCUCAUUCCAGCAGGUAGCAGGAUACAUGAUGCAUUCUUGAUGGGGUGGGGAGGGUACUGAAUAUUCUCCCAGGCAGGGAGACCCCUGCUUUGUGUCUGGUCUGGAGGAGGGCAGAGCCUCGCAGGGCCUGGCUAAGUGGAACACUGGUGGGGAAGCUGUUCUUGGCUUGGAUGCCACAGAGCCACAGACCCAAGAGCUCAUGCAGCUGGAAUGAGAGAAACUUUGGCAUCAUGUUAUGACUCAAAGCUCAACACUGCCCCAGGAAGAUGUAAUCAAGAUGAGGCCAUUAGAGUAGGCCCUAAUCAGAUAUGACUGGUAUUCUAAUAAGAGAAUGCCAUGAGAAGACAGAGACAUAUAGGGAGAAGGCCACAUGAAGACAGAGACAGAGAUAGUGAUUGGAGUGAUGUGUCUACAAGCCAAGGAACGCUGGUGGUUACCAGAAGCUACACAAGAGGCAUGGAAUAGAUUUUUCCUCUGAGCCCUCAGAAGGAACCAACCCUGCCCACAACUUGAUUUUGGACAUCUAGUCUCUAGAAAUGUGAGAGAAUAAAUUUCUGUUGUUUUAA